GGAGCGUGAAGAAGAAGGCGAGGCCGGCGGCCAGGAGGACGCCCCAGUAGGGGAGCUGGAGCUGGCGGCCGAAGCCCUCGCAGGUGAAGAGCGAGAGGCCGAGCACGAGCAGCAGCAGCACCUGGAACCACCACUGCGGCACGGCGGCGUAGUUCCUCCUCAUCAGCCGGGCGUGCACGUCGCCGCCGGCGGCACGCACCGUCGCCCUGGUCUGCUCCCAUAUGGACCUGCCGUGGUAGAGCGCGACGUGGGACAGCGUGGCCGCCAGCGUCGCGAAGCUGAGCCCGUAGCUGAAGGCGAAGAAGAUGCUGAGGUGGAUCUGGCCGGCGCCGUCGUAGCCGGCCUGGCUGAACUGGAACGUGCCGGCGCCCAGCACCCUGUUCACGUCGUACCGGCUGCCGUUGGCCAUGAACACGUGGGAGGAGAUGAUGGGGAAG
rnacentral:misc_RNA from 1 species